rnacentral:rRNA from 1 species
GACGAACGCUGGCGGCGUGCUUAACACAUGCAAGUCGAACGGAAAGGCCCUGCUUUUGUGGGGUGCUCGAGUGGCGAACGGGUGAGUAACACGUGAGUAACCUGCCCUUGACUUUGGGAUAACUUCAGGAAACUGGGGCUAAUACCGGAUAGGAGCUCCUGCUGCAUGGUGGGGGUUGGAAAGUUUCGGCGGUUGGGGAUGGACUCGCGGCUUAUCAGCUUGUUGGUGGGGUAGUGGCUUACCAAGGCUUUGACGGGUAGCCGGCCUGAGAGGGUGACCGGCCUCAUUAGGACUGAGAUACGGCCCAGACUCCCACGGGAGGCAGCAGUGGGGAAUAUUGCACAAUGGGCGGACGCCUGAUGCAGCAACGCCGCGUGCGGGAUGACGGCCUUCGGGUUGUAAACCGCUUUCGCCUGUGACGAAGCGUGAGUGACGGUAAUGGGUAAAGAAGCACCGGCUAACUACGUG